rnacentral:lncRNA from 1 species
UUUUUGCAAGGAACGUCAAUGUAACGUAUAUAUAUUUAAUUUUCCAUAGACUAAAAGUUAAGCAUUUUUGUGUCUUAAGCAUUUGACACGUUCUGUUGAAUGAUAUAUUGUUUGGAGAGAGUUUUCAAAUAUUUAUUCUAAAAUGUAAUAAAUAAAUCAACAAAAAAUUUGACUUCGAGCAAAGUUUUGUAUACCAUCUGCUGAUCUUAAAGGCGUCGAAGUUUUUGAUAAAUGAAUAGUUUUCUAUAAUACCGAACCUUUCUACUUUGGGACCUUUUAGUAAAAGAUAUGUUUCUGCUAGAACGAUUGUUUGUUGCAUACACUAACAGUUAUUUCCACGCAUCCGACAAACUGACGCAUUUGGAAAAAUAGUGAUCCUAAUUUAAGGACUGUAGAUCACUUUUUAAUUUUAAUAAAAUGAACAAUUUCAAACUGCCGUUUUCUUUCCAAAAGCUGAGAAAUUGAAAUUAUAGAUCAAGCAAACAGAGGAUACAUAUAGUAGCUGUUGCUGCCAUUGACACGAACGAGAAUUAUUUCUCAAUUUAAUCUUCUCGAAAGACUCAUAUUUGGAAUGUAACUGUUGGUAGUACGGAUAGAAAGACCCUAAAAUUAUUUCAAUAAGUUAAGAUUAUGAGGAAAUAAAUAAAAUCGAGAAUGGAAAGAUUAUUCAUAAAAAAUGUAUAAUCAGUCAUGUUCACAAUCUAUAAUUUUUUUAAAUAAGUAGUCAAACAUCAAAAAGCCAUAUGUAUCAAAAAUAGUGCAAAGCUUGAACGCUUUGUACAAAAGGUUAAAAUAAAUGAAAAUUACGUCGACUAACGUUACCAUUAUUGAACCGAACACUGUGCGUAACGUCUGUAUCAAACAGCUGUGUCUAUCAAAUAUAUCAUAUAUCUUCUGUUUAAUGUAUAUAACUAUUAUGCAUACAAGUGUGUAUAACUCAUUAUGUACAUGUGCAAAUAGAAAAAAAAGAAAUUUAUAUUUUUUUUAAAACCUGUGCAUUUGUUAUACUUGAUUAUUAUUGUAGGUCUAAUACUAACAAAAACUAACAACUGUAUAAAAAUGAUUAUUUACUAAUAUUAACGAGGCCGGGAUAAGGUACCGAUACUUGAUGUUUUAAACUAACAAAUGUACAGAUUUCAAUAAAAUAUGAUAAAUUUGGGGGAAAAAAUAUUAUUUGUUCGUUG